UAGGGAAUCUUCCACAAUGGACGCAAGUCUGAUGGAGCAACGCCGCGUGAGUGAAGAAGGUUUUCGGAUCGUAAAGCUCUGUUGUUGGUGAAGAAGGAUAGAGGCAGUAACCGGUCUUUAUUUGACGGUAAUCAACCAGAAAGUCACGGCUAACUACGUGCCAGCAGCCGCGGUAAUACGUAGGUGGCAAGCGUUGUCCGGAUUUAUUGGGCGUAAAGCGAGCGCAGGCGGAAUGAUAAGUCUGAUGUGAAAGCCCACGGCUCAACCGUGGAACUGCAUCGGAAACUGUCAUUCUUGAGUGCAGAAGAGGAGAGUGGAACUCCAUGUGUAGCGGUGGAAUGCGUAGAUAUAUGGAAGAACACCAGUGGCGAGGCGGCUCUCUGGUCUGCAACUGACGCUGAGGCUCGAAAGCAUGG
rnacentral:rRNA from 1 species